rnacentral:rRNA from 1 species
AAAUUGAAGAGUUUGAUCAUGGCUCAGAUUGAACGCUGGCGGCAGGCCUAACACAUGCAAGUCGAACGGUAACAGGAAGCAGCUUGCUGCUUCGCUGACGAGUGGCGGACGGGUGAGUAAUGUCUGGGAAACUGCCUGAUGGAGGGGGAUAACUACUGGAAACGGUGGCUAAUACCGCAUAACGUCGCAAGACCAAAGAGGGGGACCUUCGGGCCUCUUGCCAUCAGAUGUGCCCAGAUGGGAUUAGCUUGUUGGUGAGGUAACGGCUCACCAAGGCGACGAUCCCUAGCUGGUCUGAGAGGAUGACCAGCCACACUGGAACUGAGACACGGUCCAGACUCCUACGGGAGGCAGCAGUGGGGAAUAUUGCACAAUGGGCGCAAGCCUGAUGCAGCCAUGCCGCGUGUAUGAAGAAGGCCUUCGGGUUGUAAAGUACUUUCAGCGGGGAGGAAGGUGUUGUGGUUAAUAACCGCAGCAAUUGACGUUACCCGCAGAAGAAGCACCGGCUAACUCCGUGCCAGCAGCCGCGGUAAUACGGAGGGUGCAAGCGUUAAUCGGAAUUACUGGGCGUAAAGCGCACGCAGGCGGUCUGUCAAGUCGGAUGUGAAAUCCCCGGGCUCAACCUGGGAACUGCAUUCGAAACUGGCAGGCUUGAGUCUUGUAGAGGGGGGUAGAAUUCCAGGUGUAGCGGUGAAAUGCGUAGAGAUCUGGAGGAAUACCGGUGGCGAAGGCGGCCCCCUGGACAAAGACUGACGCUCAGGUGCGAAAGCGUGGGGAGCAAACAGGAUUAGAUACCCUGGUAGUCCACGCCGUAAACGAUGUCUACUUGGAGGUUGUGCCCUUGAGGUGUGGCUUCCGGAGCUAACGCGUUAAGUAGACCGCCUGGGGAGUACGGCCGCAAGGUUAAAACUCAAAUGAAUUGACGGGGGCCCGCACAAGCGGUGGAGCAUGUGGUUUAAUUCGAUGCAACGCGAAGAACCUUACCUGGUCUUGACAUCCACGGAAGUUUUCAGAGAUGAGAAUGUGCCUUCGGGAACCGUGAGACAGGUGCUGCAUGGCUGUCGUCAGCUCGUGUUGUGAAAUGUUGGGUUAAGUCCCGCAACGAGCGCAACCCUUAUCCUUUGUUGCCAGCGAUUCGGUCGGGAACUCAAAGGAGACUGCCAGUGAUAAACUGGAGGAAGGUGGGGAUGACGUCAAGUCAUCAUGGCCCUUACGACCAGGGCUACACACGUGCUACAAUGGCGCAUACAAAGAGAAGCGACCUCGCGAGAGCAAGCGGACCUCAUAAAGUGCGUCGUAGUCCGGAUUGGAGUCUGCAACUCGACUCCAUGAAGUCGGAAUCGCUAGUAAUCGUGGAUCAGAAUGCCACGGUGAAUACGUUCCCGGGCCUUGUACACACCGCCCGUCACACCAUGGGAGUGGGUUGCAAAAGAAGUAGGUAGCUUAACCUUCGGGAGGGCGCUUACCACUUUGUGAUUCAUGACUGGGGUGAAGUCGUAACAAGGUAACCGUAGGGGAACCUGCGGUUGGAUCACCUCCUUACCUUAAAGAA